rnacentral:rRNA from 1 species
CCUCCCCCGUCCCCGCUCCCCCAACUCCCCUCCCAUCGCCCACCCGCCUCGCCGUCGCUCUCGCGUUGCCGAUCUCGCCGCUGCCGCUGCUCGUCGUCGCCAUCGUCGAGAGGAGAGCGACAGGUGGACCAGGCGCGUCGCCAUCGACGGGAGAUGCGCAGGAACCGCCAGCGCUCCUCCGGCGACCAAUCCUUCUCUCUCGCCCAUCGUCGCGCCCCCGUCGUGCUCGUGCAUCACAUCAUCGGGAGGAGGGUUGUUGGCUCACCCACGCUGCCGGCGCUGAGGCGGAUGCCGAUGUCAUCGUUUCCUCUGGCCAGCUUUGCCCAUGUUUCUGGGGACGUUGCGCCCUCUACGGCCGGAAGCCCCUCGCCCUGGCGCCGCCACUACGUGCCGCCCCCAACGCCAACAUCGGUAUCUCUCUACUGAUCUCCUUUUUUGUGGCAUAUAUGCCAGGAAACUGAGCCAUCCAUGUAAGGUUGCAGGCACCUAUUACAACAAGGUUAUUCUCAUUCUUCUCCUAUUAAUAAGCAGCUAGAUCCAAGAUGUGUUCACACUCUUUGGCACUGCUAAAGACACUUCAUGAAAGUCAGGUGUGUAAGCCGUAAAGCCGAGGGAGCUCGACCAGGUCGCUUCUUCUUGCCGUUGAAGCGCCGGAUCUGUUGAUGCGGACUGGUUCGUUUUUUGCGGCUGCUGCUUCUUUUGGUCGAUACCCUCCUUGGAUUUUCGUUCGAUCUGAGCCAGUGUUCACGACUUCAUCCAGGGAACUGCAGGUCAACCCCUCCUCUUUCUUUUCCUGGAUGUGUUUUAAAUAAUGUAGGCCUACAAAGGUACAACUUAUGUUGAGGAUAUGAAAUAUCUGUAUCUAUUAGCUUAUACUUAUUUCAUGAUUUUUCUACCUUAGUUGCCCUUUUUGAGAUUAAUCAUUGCAAUUGACUAAAGGUUUGUACUAUGUGUUGUUCUUGGUUCUCUAAUUUUAUUUACUUUAAUCUCGGCAGAUAAGAAACUCAUUCAGAUGGAAAUAAUAUGCAAUUUCUGUAUGUUAUCCUUUCAAGACGCCUGGUAGCAAAUAUUUAGAUUUUCUUUAAAGAAGUAGAAAGCACCUGUCUGUUGUCUUGAGUCUCUUCAAUCUGCUUUACUCAUAUGGAGCUUUUUUAAUUUUAACUUGAAACCGUGGAAUGUGAGACAAGCAUCAAGAGCACUGAUUAAUGGGAGGAGUUUAAUGCCUUUUGAGUAUUGUUAGAUGAGCAUCAAGAUGUUCUUUUUUGUUUGGAUGCACCCACUGGUGGAACGUGGAACAAAAGUGAGAAGCCAACAUUAUUUUUUAUAUAGCUUUAUAGGUGCCUGUUUAUAGUUGCAGCAUAUGGUACUAAUGGUCCAGAACAUCUAUUUCGAUAUUACUUUAUUCUGUUUUGUUUCCUUAAUUUUCUAUUUGGACUCUUUUUUAACCUAUUCUGUACUGUUAUAUAAGUCUGCUAUUUGAACCCUACUUCAUACAGUUGGCCGCUGAUGUUAUUUCAGAACACUAGAUAUUGCAUCAUGCAUGAGGAUAUGUUUUAGCUUCAGAUUUGAGAUAAUCUAUCUAAUGGUUUUAAGGACAUAGUUGCUCACCAUCUUAUAGGAUAGCUGAAACCUUUACCCAUAAGAAUAGACCCAUAUGAAAGUUUGCUUUAAAUAGGUGUUGUUUUAUUUUUGAAGCUAAAUCAGAUGAGGGUGUAUCGUGUAUACUUUCUUAGUAUAAAGUCAUUACUGGUCCGCCAUUCGGCGGGCAAUCGCGCGGCAAGAAGCUGCAGCCAUUAUCUUAAUAAACUGGUAGGGCCGCUGUCCAAUCCAUUAACUAUGGACUUUUUUCUUUUUUUUUCUUCUCAUCUUGACAUUGUUGUAUGCACCAUAAUUCAUGGCUGCAUUUUCUCAUAAAUAUUAGUAAAGGUUACCAGUGUUAUCAUAUUAGAAUUCGAAAAUAACCUAAUAUGAACUCAUGAUAGAGAAGAUAUACUCCCUCUGUUCCUAAAUAUUUGUCUUUCUAGAGAUUUCAACAAGUGACUACAUACGGAUCAAAAUGAGUGAUUCUACACUCUAAAAUAUGUCUAUAUACGUCCGUAUGUGAUAGUCCAUUUGAAAGCUCUAAAAAGACAAAUAUUUAGGAACGGAGGGAGUAUUUGACAUGAUGCAUCGUCAUAUUGUGCAAAUUUUACCAGUAAUAGCACAUCAUCCUUAUUAUCUGGCACUAUAACAGAAAAUAAUACCACUCCUUGAAAGUAGGCUUUCUAACAUUCUAGACUUGGUUAAAGAUUUGGGUUAACUGAAACUGUUGUGCAGUAAUAGGUGUUGUCUUCAAUUAAAGAUUUGGGUUAACUGAUAAAUCGUUGACUUCUUCCAGUUGAGCAUCUUGGCAGACCGCCUCUCCAUGUUUUGAAGGAAUCUCUUAUGCUCUUUUCCACUGCUUUCUACUAUGUUCUAUAUGUCAAUAAGCUUCGCCAAGAUAUGCUAUAAUGUCUGUCUAACCCAAAGUGCAAGCACAACUACACCAUUCUCAUCUCUGUACUGUAAUGUUGUCAAUGCAAAUUCAUGGAAGCUUCUAUGUAUGCUGCAAGAGUAACCAGACAAUAAACAUACUACCUCCAUCCAUUUAUGAGAUGUAUAUCAUACAAUUGAAAACUUAUUUCAAAUUCAAAAUUUGAUGGUGUACUACUUGUAACAUACACAUUAUACUAUUGGUCUAGCAUGUGGUGAAAGUAAACCCCCAAAUAUUUACUUGGCCAUAUAUAUAUAUAUACUAGAGGGAGUACAUGUUAUCGCAAAGGUUUUGUCAUUGUCCAGUUCCGCAUUAGAAUGACUAGAAAUGUUAGCUAAUCAAUUUAUUCUACCCAGAGUUACCUUUGAGGAUCAAGUGGAAUCUUCUAAUUUUAGAUAAAAUGUUAAACAGAAGCAUGAAUUUUACCUUUUUGAACAAGGUUCACCAAUCAUCAGAAAUCAAAUAUGUACAUCUAUUGCAGUGAAGUUAAAAUAAGUUUAUGUAACUUGGAUUUUUUUUGCGUAUGUAACUUAGUUAAAAUAUUGAUUAACUAAUUACACACUACUUACGGUGGUCUUAUAAUUGAACGAGACAUUUACAGAAAUCCGCUUAGACAAGCUCCCGGGGCAUUCAGCAUCAAAGAGUUUCCUGUUUCUAUUGCCAGUUGCUACUCUGUGUUAGAUGAUCAUUAGCCAUAUAAUGCUACUAGAUGUGGUGUCUAACGUCGCCUUGUAUUGCUUCGGUUUUAAUUAAGUAAACUGGAGCAGGGUAUAUGCCCUGUUCAAAUAAUAAUGAUAAAUGUUGUCAACUGUUCAAGUGAUAAUAGCCUCCCUUAGCUUUUAUUUGUUUUGCUUGAAAUUUCAGCAACAAAGAUAUUAUGUUAUAUCUUCUUUUUGGUGAGCGGGUGAGCUAAUUUGGCAAUUUUCCUCUUGGUCUAUGCAGAAAUUGGAUGCUUCAAAGGAUUUGAUUAUUGUAGGUGAGUGUGAUAAUCUGCAGUCUCACAUGCAUCAUUAGCUUCCCUUAUCAUGCAACAGGUAUUCUUCAUGUUUUGUAUCUUGCCAAGUUCGAUUAUUUCUUGGCUUAGAGCAGCGCCGCAAGUAGAGAGAGAGGCCAAGGGUACUCAUGUGUCAUGAUAGAUAGCUGUGCAGGAGCAGCUCGGGGACAAAGCCAAGGUCUAAAAUGCUGAAUCCCAAUAAAGUGGUACUGUAUAUCUCAGAUGCAGGAUGACAAACUUGUGAACUAAGCAGCAAAAGGACGGAAAGAGCCCGAUGGCGUUGUAGCUAUCGCCCCCUUCAGCGUCCAGGAACCAGGCAAAACGCCAUUGUCAAUGUGAGCGGCGACGAGCGAAUGGGCAGCAACCUCAUGCACCAUGGCAUGACGAUCAGAUCGGCGACGUGAUCGUUGUGCUGGACAAUGCCAAGGAUCAGUUCGUUUUUGUCAAUUGUCGUGUGGGAUUCUAUGCCCAUCCUUUUCUGAAAACUUCUGUUUUUGUUAUUCAAAAUAUUUAAGAACUUGUGAAAUUUGUUAUCUUUUGUAAGUAAAUGGCGGUGUCAAAGUGUCUUGUAUAUUUCAAUUAAUUCUCAACAGGUUGCCAACAAACUUAUUAUUAUGGUGUUGUUCUAAACCUUG